CGGUGCGGGGGGAUUGCUAAUCGUAUUCAGCAUGUUUUGCACAAGAAAUGUCAGCCAGAAAGGGCUAUCUGCUCCCUUCGCCAAAUUAUCCCACAACAAUGUCAUGCUCUGAGAGCCCUGCCGCGAACUCUUUUUUGGUCGACUCGCUCAUCAGCUCCGGCAGAGGCGAGGCGGGCGGCGGUGGCGGUGGCGCCGGGGGCGGUGGCGGCGGCUACUAUGCCCACGGCGGGGUCUACCUGCCACCGGCCGCCGACCUGCCCUACGGGCUGCAGAGCUGCGGGCUCUUCCCGGCGCUGGGAGGCAAGCGCAAUGAGGCGACGUCGCCGGGCGGCGGCGGCAGCGGGGGCCUGGGUGCCGGGGCGCACGGCUAUGCGCCCGCGCCCAUAGACCUGUGGCUAGACGCGCCCCGGUCUUGCCGGAUGGAACAGCCCGAGGGUCCGCCGCCACCACAACCCCAACAGCAGCCGCCGCCCCCGCCGCAACCACCCCAGCCGCCGCCGCAGGCCACCUCGUGCUCUUUCGCGCAGAACAUCAAAGAGGAGAGUUCUUACUGCCUCUACGACUCGGCGGACAAAUGCCCCAAAGGUUCGACUACCGCUGCAGAACUGGCCCCCUUCCCGCGGGGCCCGCCGCCCGACGGCUGCGCCCUAGGCACCUCCAGCGGGGUGCCAGUGCCGGGCUACUUCCGCCUCUCGCAGGCCUAUGGCACCGCCAAGGGCUACAGCGGCAGCGGCGGCGCGCAGCAGCUCGGCGCUAGCCCGUUUCCCGCACAGCCCCCAGGGCGCGGCUUCGACCCGCCGCCGGCGCUCGCCUCUGGCUCUGCGGAGGCUGCCCGGAAGGAGCGAGCCCUCGAGUCGCCGCCGCCCCCUACGCUGACCUGCGGCGGUAGCGGCGGCGGGGGCUCACAGGGCGACGAGGAGGCGCACGCGUCGUCCUCGGCUGCGGAGGAGCUCUCUCCGGCCCCUUCCGAGAGCAGCAAAGCCUCGCCCGAGAAGGACUCCCUGGGUAAGCAGGGCUCGUCAGAGGGCCGCAAUCAGGCGGGCAGACAGGCAGACCCAGGGAAAGGAAGGCGCAGAGAGCCAGGAGCCCGCGCAGCAGCCGGCUGGCCUUGGCCCGAGCUGCAGGCAGGCUGACCUUGUGAACUUGCUUUUUAAUAUUUGGGCGUGGGGACACAGUAAAAAUUCAUGUCCGGCUUAGCGCCCCAUACCAAGACGUCCUCCGAGCUGGCUUCUGCUCGCCCGGGCUGGGGGCGAGGACACAAGCGAGCAGCCCCCCUCUUGUGCAUGCCCUUUCUCGUGGACCGGAGCACCCCAAGCCGUGGGGCAACGCGGCCCACGCGGGGGGAGGAGGAGGGAGGGAAAGUGGCUCGCCCGCAGAUAGUGCGGAUGUUUGUAACGCAUCCAAAAUAAGCAGCCGCCAACGCCAAUAAAUAAGCCCAUUAACCUGCGAAGUUCGAGUUUACGAUCCCCAAUGCUUUUUUCAAAGUUGCUGGAGGGGAGGGAAUCCUCGUUGCGGGAAGAAGAAAAGGCAGACCCGGCCCAGAGGCCGGGACCCCGAGCUGAGAGCCAGAAAAGGGCCAUUUCGCUUCCCCUGGAACUCAGUCGCCCGGACUGCACGCCCUGGUUCCUGGAAAGAUGUGAGAGAGAGAGCCCUUGACCCCAAGUCGGCUUUUCGUGCCUUCACCAUUUGCCCAACUACAUCCAUUUACCCAGGGGCCUGGGGCAAUUCCAAAGGCGAAAACGCAGCCAACUGGCUCACGGCAAAGAGCGGCCGGAAGAAGCGUUGCCCCUACACCAAGCACCAGACGCUGGAGCUGGAGAAGGAGUUUCUGUUCAACAUGUACCUUACUCGAGAGCG